GAGGGUAUAGCUCUGUGGUAGAGUGUAUGCCUAGCAUGCACGAGGUCCUGGGUUGGAUCCCCAGCACCUCCA
rnacentral:tRNA from 1 species